rnacentral:rRNA from 1 species
AGCAGCCGCGGUAAUUCCAGCUCCAAUAGCGUAUAUUAAAGUUGCUGCAGUUAAAAAGCUCGUAGUUGAAUUUCGGGGUUAGUAGGUUGGUCAUGCCUCUGGUAUGUACUGGUCUCACUGAUUCCUCCUUCCUGAUGAACCUUAAUGCCAUUAAUUUGGUGUUUUGGGGAAUUUGGACUGUUACUUUGAAAAAAUUAGAGUGUUUAAAGCAAGCUAACGCUUGAAUACAUUAGCAUGGAAUAAUGAAAUAGGACGUUCGAUCCUAUUUUGUUGGUUUCUAGGAUUGACGUAAUGAUUAAUAGGGAUAGUUGGGGGCAUUAGUAUUCAAUUGUCAGAGGUGAAAUUCUUGGAUUUAUUGAAGACUAACUACUGCGAAAGCAUUUGCCAAGGAUGUUUUCAUUAAUCAAGAACGAAAGUUAGGGGAUCGAAGACGAUCAGAUACCGUCGUAGUCUUAACCAUAAACUAUGCCGACUAGGGAUCGGAUGAUGUAAUUUUUAAUGACUCAUUCGGCGCCUUACG